GACUUAGUGUGGUGUAGUGGUUUGAGCAUUAGACUAUGACUCUGGAGACCAAGGUUCAAAUCCUAGUUCAGCCA